GUCACGUGGAAGCCAAAUUGUAUUUAGGUGGUGACUUGGUGAGCAUGGCAUCAAGAACAAAGGGAGUCAGUCCCCUGACUCAAAUGUUCGUGGCGCAUCAGGGGCGUCUGUUACGUCUAGCUCCACAAAUAGGCUCUUUCCGCUUUGAGAGCUGACAGUACUGAAGAGCUACUGUGAGCUUUCGCCUCUUCGGUUUCCUUUGUUCUAAGCUGCUGUGCUUCUGGAUCGGACACAGCUGGUGCCUCACGUCCUCUCUGCCCAUCUUCUACUCCGUUCAUAUCUCUGGAACCCACUUCACACCAACGUAACCUGACCAAAUCUCACAGAGUUUCAUUAAAUUUCUUUCUUUCUGCUUCAGGGCUUCUCUGAGGCUGAGCGAGGCGACUCACGUGCAAACCCGCAGUGGCAGGGCUUCCACCUGUUGGGUCACAGUUGACAAAUGGCGUCUGGUCUGGAGUGGCAAGGAUCUGUAAUUCUUUAUUCCUGUUAAUGAGAACCAUAACACAUCUCUGACAUUUCAAGCCAUCUGAAGUCCAAGGAGAAAAGCUAGGGGCUGUCGUCUUCAUCAUCCUUCUCCAAUUACUCAGCCUGUCUUGAGCACCUGCCAUGGUCUGUCUUGGAUGCUGGGACACAGAGAGGUGGGAGCUGGAAAACAGAAGUAACACUGCCUCUCCUCUCAAGGAAGACUACGCACCCACCUUUCAGGAGGGAGUCUCCUAUAUCUUCAUGUAACCCGGAUAUGUCUGACCACUCUGAAGACCGACCCGGGAACUUCUGUCAAAUUUUCUUUUUUGUUCUCUAGGCUGUUAAAAAUCACUUCACCCCCACCCCCCUUUUCCAUAGGUCCCUAAAUAAAAUAUCUGCAUUCUUAAACCUUUGAAUCA
rnacentral:lncRNA from 1 species